rnacentral:rRNA from 1 species
AGGACGAACGCUGGCGGCGUGCGUAAUACAUGCAAGUCGAGCGGGCUAAUGCUUUCGGGUGUUAGUUAGCGGCGGACGGGUGAGUAACGCGUGAGUGACCUAGCCUGGUGGUGGGGGAUAACUGCCCGAAAGGGUGGCUAAUCCCGCAUGGGCCCUCUGGGUCGGACCAGAGGGGAAAGCUUCGGAAGAGGCGCCCGAGGGGGGGCUUGCGUCCCAUUAGGUGGUUGGUGGGGUAGUGGCCUACCAAGCCGAUGAUCGGUAGCUGGUCUGAGAGGACGAUCAGCCACACUGGGAUUGAGAACGGCCCAGACUCCUACGGGGGGCAGCAGUGAGGAAUCUUGCGCAAUGGGCGAAAGCCUGACGCAGCAACGCCGCGUGGAGGACGAAUGCUUUUCUGAGUUGUAAACUCCUUUCAGCAGGGACGAUUGUGACGGUACCUGCAGAAGAAGCACGGCCAACUACGCGCCAGCAGCGC